CACUGAUCUUGAAACUGUGCCACGCUAGUAGAGACCGGCUACAAGGAUGGGCAGCUGUUUUCGCAAAGUCAGCCAACCACUUGCUUCCAAAUGACCCUUAUCCAGAAGUAUCCGUGAGUGCCUCAUCAACAGAAACUAAAUGGAGACCUACCUCUCAGAGAAAAACGCACACAUAAGAAAAGCCGACCCACUUCAGUACUGGGAAGAACAUCCUAAUCUGUUUCCCUCUAUGGCUGCUGUUGCGAUCCCAGUGUGCCCCCUGUAGCUCUGUGGACAGUUUUGGAUUUGUUUACAUCUCACCCAACCGCUCACGGCAGAUGGCUGCACCUCUCUAAGCCUGGUUCUGCCGGAGGUUUCUUCCUGUUAAAAGGGAGUUUUUCUGAACACACUCUACCACCAACAAGGACAGCUCACCAGUGGGAACUGAUAGAUAAGACUGCUGAUGUGCUCUCAUCCAUUGAAGAGCUGACCAGAAACGUGAACAGAAAGACUGCACCUGAUGGGAUCCCUGCCAUAACAGAUGUGUUCUGUCCAGUGAAGGCAGUGGAGAAGCCCUACACUGAUCUUGAAACUGUGCCACGCUAGUAGAGACCGGCUACAAGGAUG
ensembl:lncRNA